rnacentral:rRNA from 1 species
ACCCGCUGAACUUAAGCAUAUCAAUAAGCGGAGGAAAAGAAACCAACAGGGAUUGCCCUAGUAACGGCGAGUGAAGCGGCAAGAGCUCAAAUUUGAAAUCUGGCCCCCUGCGGGGUCCGAGUUGUAAUUUGCAGAGGGUGCUUUGGCGUUGGCUGUGGUCUAAGUUCCUUGGAACAGGACGUCGCAGAGGGUGAGAAUCCCGUAUGUGGCCGCCAGCCUCCGCCGUGUAAAGCCCCUUCGACGAGUCGAGUUAUUUGGGAAUGCAGCUCUAAAUGGGAGGUAAAUUUCUUCUAAAGCUAAAUACUGGCCAGAGACCGAUAGCGCACAAGUAGAGUGAUCGAAAGAUGAAAAGCACUCUGGAAAGAGAGUCAAAAAGCACGUGAAAUUGUUGAAAGGGAAGCGCUUGCAGCCAGACUUGCCUGUAGUUGCUCAUCCGGGCUCUCGCCCGGUGCACUCUUCUACGGGCAGGCCAGCAUCAGUCCGGGCGGUUGGAUAAAUGCCUGCUAAAUGUACCUCUCCUCGGGGAGGACUUAUAGGGUAGGCGGCAUACGACCAGCCUGGACUGAGGUCCGCGCAUCUGCUAGGAUGCUGGCGUAAUGGCUGU